rnacentral:rRNA from 1 species
UGUUGUAGAAAGCUACGGCGCUUUAGGAGGGGCCUGCGGCCCAUCAGCUAGUUGGUAGGGUAACGGCCUACCAAGGCAAAGACGGGUAGGGGGUGUGAGAGCACGGCCCCCCACAAUGGGACUGGAACACGGCCCAUACUCCUACGGGAGGCAGCAGCAGGGAAUAUUGCGCAAUGGGCGAAAGCCUGACGCAGCGACGCCGCGUGAGUGAAGACGGCUUUCGAGUUGUAAAACUCUUUUCUGGGGGAAGAGGAAGGACGGUACCCGAGGAAUAAGCGUCGGCUAACUACGUGCCAGCAGCCGCGGUAAGACGUAGGACGCGAGCGUUAUCCGGAUUUACUGGGCGUAAAGCGCCUGUAGGCGGCUUUGUAAGUUGGGCGUGAAAGCCCCGUGCUUAACGCGGGGAGGCCGUUCAAUACUGCGGAGCUAGAGUACGGCAGAGGGGAGUGGAAUUCCUGGAGUAGCGGUAAAAUGCGCAGAUAUCAGGAGGAACACCAGUGGCGAAGGCGGCUCCCUGGGCCGAGACUGACGCUCAGAGGCGAAAGCUAGGGGAGCGAACAGGAUUAGAGACCCUGGUAGUCCUAGCCCUAAACGAUGGAUGCUAGGUGUGGGGGCGAUGAGUUUCCGUGCCGGAGCAAACGCGAUAAGCAUCCCGCCUGGGGACUACGGCCGCAAGGUUAAAACUCAAACGAAUUGACGGGGGCCCGCACAAGCAGCGGAGCGUGUGGUUUAAUUCGAUGCUACACGAAGAACCUUACCUGGGUUUGACAUGUAGGUGUAGCGAGGCGAAAGCUGAGCGACCCUUCGGGGAGCCUACACAGGUGCUGCAUGGCUGUCGUCAGCUCGUGCCGUGAGGUGUCGGGUUAAGUCCCGUAACGAGCGCAACCCUUGCUCCUAGUUAUACGUGUCUAGGGGGACUGCCGGCGGGAAGCCGGAGGAAGGUGGGGAUGACGUCAAGUCAGCAUGGCCCUUAUGUCCAGGGCUACACACACGCUACAAUGGCCAGUACAAAGGGUAGCGAAGCCGCGA